UACGGAGGGUGCAAGCGUUGUCCGGAUUUAUUGGGUUUAAAGGGUGCGUAGGCGGCCCGGUAAGUCAGUGGUGAAAGCCCAUCGCUCAACGGUGGAACGGCCAUUGAUACUGCUAGGCUUGAAUUAUUAGGAAGUAACUAGAAUAUGUAGUGUAGCGGUGAAAUGCUUAGAGAUUACAUGGAAUACCGAUUGCGAAAGGCAGGUUACUAUCAAUUAAUUGACGCUGAUGGACGAAAGCGUGGGGAGCGAACAGG
rnacentral:rRNA from 1 species